UGGGGAAUUUUCCGCAAUGGGCGAAAGCCUGACGGAGCAAUCUCGCGUGAGGGAUGACUGCCUAUGGGUUGUAAACCUCUUUUUUCAGGGAGGAAGAAAUGACGUGUACCUGAAGAAUAAGCAUCGGCUAACUCCGUGCCAGCAGCCGCGGUAAGACGGAGGAUGCAAGUGUUAUCCGGAAUCACUGGGCGUAAAGCGUCUGUAGGUGGUUUAAUAAGUCAACUGUUAAAUCUUGAAGCUCAACUUCAAAAUCGCAGUCGAAACUAUUAGACUUGAGUAUAGUAGGGGUAAAGGGAAUUUCCAGUGGAGCGGUGAAAUGCGUAGAGAUUGGAAAGAACACCGAUGGCGAAGGCACUUUACUGGGCUAUUACUGACACUCAGAGACGAAAGCUAGGGUAGCAAAUGGGAUUAGAUACCCCCGUAGUCC
rnacentral:rRNA from 1 species